AUAAAUAAUUUAAUUAAUCUGUCAUGAGUCCUGUUACAUUAGAGUGAACUCUCGCUCUAAGAUACAAGAUUCUACUCCAUCAAAUUUGACAGGUACAGUGACUAAACAAACAUUUUUUCUCCCUCUCAGGAUCAAACAAAUCAUGUUUCAUAAAAUAAAGAUAUCAACCCUGAUCUGCAGAAGCUUUUGAAUGGUGUCAUUCUGCAACAGGUAUAGCCCAU
rnacentral:lncRNA from 1 species